rnacentral:pre_miRNA from 1 species
UUUGCCUGCAUUUGCACCUGCACCUUAUAAAUAUGUACAUACACUCUUCUUCUUCUUCUUCUUCUUCUUCUUAUGUGUGUAUAUAUGUAAGAGGUGCAGAGGCAAGUGCAAGUGAA